rnacentral:rRNA from 1 species
CAAGGAAUUUUCCGCAAUGGGCGAAAGCCUGACGGAGCAACGCCGCGUGGGGGAUGACACUUUUCGGAGCGUAAACCCCUUUUCUGUGGGAGGAAGAAUGACCGUACCGCAGGAAGAAGGCCCGGCUAACUACGUGCCAGCAGCCGCGGUAAUACGUAGGGGCCGAGCGUUGUCCGGAAUUACUGGGCGUAAAGCGCGCGCAGGCGGCUGAUCAAGCCUGACGUGAAAGCCCCCGGCUCAACCGGGGAGGGUCGUCGGGGACUGAUUGGCUUGAGGGCGGUAGGGGCCGGUGGAAUUCCCGGUGUAGUGGUGAAAUGCGUAGAGAUCGGGAGGAACACCAGUGGCGAAGGCGGCCGGCUGGGCCGACCCUGACGCUGAGGCGCGAAGGCGUGGGGAGCGAACGGG